CAUGAUCACUUAUUCCUUGAUCGAAUCGUGGAAUAUCAUCUUCGUGUGGAAUGCUUGUUCCACGGGAUUUAGGAAGACCAUAGUUGUCGAACUUUGACAUCUACAAAACGGGAGAAAACGAAUUCCAGUUAGUUGAUUGAUUGAGUCCUUAAUAAAUCACCCAAAUGAGAUAUUAAGGCUAGGACCCAACACAAUAUGCUACAACCUAGAAAAGGGAUGCCGUAAUCUAGUUGCAGAAUAUUUGAAGGUAAGUGAAUGACGAUUCACUAAUUUCCACCAUGAAAAACAAAAAAGAAAUUUAAGUUUUAAAUCUAUGAAAACUCCUAGAUCCUUUGAGAUUCAUUGAACAUUUCAAUGGCAUGUUUAAAUCUCGAUAUGCCCCUCUAGUUUGUGACUGGGAUGCCGAGGAUCACAAAGCAGGUGUGAAUAACCAUGCAAACUUACAUGGUGCCCCCACAUGUUACAGUCACCUAUUUGAUGUGCCGGUAAACCACACACGCUCCACCAAACUAUGACAAACAUUGAGUCACCCUUUGCUACCUUUGCUUAGAACCAUUUAGUGUGCCGGUAAACCACACACGCUCCACUAACGUCUUCGCAUGGGCACAAAGUGUAAUUUCAUGGAAUUGCAUCAAUUGACUUUUGCCUAAAGUAACUAAGAUUGGGAAUUUGUAAAACAUUUAGUUACUUUUGUACUUCAUUGUACUUAUAAUGGAAAGUUUUGUCCUAUCCUACCUGUUCAGCUAAUGACCCUCCACUAGUCAAGAGUGCGGUGGGCAAGAGUGGAUACCCAUUCAAUCGCCAUUUUAUAGGCAAUUUCCUUAAACACCCCUUAUAGACCAGCUUCGUGAAUGAGGCCUACUAACGGUAAGACUGACUUUUACUCAUACAUAUAUAUAAUGUUAGACUUUUAAUGUUAUAUAUANNNNNNNNNNNNNNNNNNNNNNNNNNNNNNNNNNNNNNNNNNNNNNNNNNNNNNNNNNNNNNNNNNNNNNNNNNNNNNNNNNNNNNNNNNNNNNNNNNNNNNNNNNNNNNNNNNNNNNNNNNNNNNNNNNNNNNNNNNNNNNNNNNNNNNNNNNNNNNNNNNNNNNNNNNNNNNNNNNNNNNNNNNNNNNNNNNNNNNNNNNNNNNNNNNNNNNNNNNNNNNNNNNNNNNNNNNNNNNNNNNNNNNNNNNNNNNNNNNNNNNNNNNNNNNNNNNNNNNNNNNNNNNNNNNNNNNNNNNNNNNNNNNNNNNNNNNNNNNNNNNNNNNNNNNNNNNNNNNNNNNNNNNNNNNNNNNNNNNNNNNNNNNNNNNNNNNNNNNNNNNNNNNNNNNNNNNNNNNNNNNNNNNNNNNNNNNNNNNNNNNNNNNNNNNNNNNNNNNNNNNNNNNNNNNNNNNNNNNNNNNNNNNNNNNNNNNNNNNNNNNNNNNNNNNNNNNNNNNNNNNNNNNNNNNNNNNNNNNNNNNNNNNNNNNNNNNNNNNNNNNNNNNNNNNNNNNNNNNNNNNNNNNNNNNNNNNNNNNNNNNNNNNNNNNNNNNNNNNNNNNNNNNNNNNNNNNNNNNNNNNNNNNNNNNNNNNNNNNNNNNNNNNNNNNNNNNNNNNNNNNNNNNNNNNNNNNNNNNNNNNNNNNNNNNNNNNNNNNNNNNNNNNNNNNNNNNNNNNNNNNNNNNNNNNNNNNNNNNNNNNNNNNNNNNNNNNNNNNNNNNNNNNNNNNNNNNNNNNNNNNNNNNNNNNNNNNNNNNNNNNNNNNNNNNNNNNNNNNNNNNNNNNNNNNNNNNNNNNNNNNNNNNNNNNNNNNNNUGUGACAACCCGAUAUUUCGAGACAAUGUAAUGUAAAACCAAUCAAAUUUAGGUCAAAAUAUAACUUUCCUAAAAUCUUAUUUGGGUUAAAUAAAGUAGUAGGAAUGGUAUCAAGGUUUUCGUACAUAUAAAGAACCCUAAAAUCCGAGUUAUAACGAGGAAGUUAUGACCAUUCUAAAAUUUCCAACAAAACCGACAACAAUGAUUAAACGACAAACGUGAAGUUUCCAUACAAUAGUUUUUAGCCUUAAGUAUCUAAAUGAAAGUUGUAGAUAGCAUUAANCUCAAACCGUGAGCGUACAUAAAAAGAACGUCCAAAUCUGACUUCGUAUGAGGAAGUUAUGAUUUUUCCAAGAUUCGGGUAUAGCAGUAGACAGCUAAAAACUCGAAAUAGAGCUCGAGAUACUUUUGACCAAAACAACCUAAAUGAGAAUCUAAGGUCUCAACAUUAGUAGCACAAUGGCGAAAAGUCUGACGAAAACGGACAUCGGAUGAAGAAGUUAUGGAAUUUUAACGGACUUUUCGUGUCCCGGCCCGUUAAAAAUAAAUAUUUAAAAAUAAAUCAGAAGUUUCCAAUGAAGUCUAAACGAGAGCUGUAGAUCAUGUUUUUACCUACGCGUGCAUAUAAAGAACGUCGAAAACGGAGCUCGUACGCGAAAGUUAUGGAUUUUACAAGUUCGAGGCCCGAAAUCCGAGGCUGUCAGGCUUGCCACAACGUGGCACAAGCUUGCCGCAACCCGACAAGUGACUGAGGGCGUCCAAUCAAUGGAAGAGGAUAAGUUGGACUCCCCACGACGUGGCCAUCACUUUCCACGACUGGCACACCUCAAAAAUGCCCCUAUAUAUAGAUUUCAAGGGCUCCGAGCUCCAUUGCUCAGUUCCCUUCUUUCUCGCGCCGAAACUCUGCGUUUAAGCCCCUGAGACCCUCCCGAAGCCCUGGUUUUCACCUUCAAUUCCCGAAGGAAGGUUUUGUGUUCCCUAGAUUCCUGAGAAUCCCGAGAUUUCCCGCAUUUUCAACUCUUCCUGUCGAAGUUCUGCUCGAUUCUUCUCUCGACUACUUCAAAUCAACCAUUUCAAUCAAGUGAGUUCAUACCCCUAUAAUCUACACUUUCAAAUGAUUUAUAAAUGAUUUUUAUACACUUUUAAGGGGGGGAAUGCAAGUAAACACACGGUUAUCCCCGUGUGAAAGACAUAAAUCCUUCUUAUACUUUUUGGUUAUGUAAUCAAUCACAUGUGAUUUAUAACUAACAUACAAUUGGACUUACUACACUUUUAGCCGUUUAACCAAACAGAGUACUUCAAAUAGCUUUCUCAAACGUUUUUACAUGUUAAAACACUUUUAUAAACUGUCUUACAAACUGUAUGUUUCCUUUUUGAAUCUGUUAUAGUUGUGCUUCAAACAAAGGUUUUCUCACACUUAAACUGUCUUGUCAAACGGUUUUCGAAUCGAUUUGUAAACUGACAUCAAGUCAUAAAUUCUUAUUUAUUAAACUUUUCAAAAGUGUUACAAAACUUCUUUUAUGCUUUUAUAUUAUAAAAUGCAUGCCUCUAUAUGUAUAGUUAUAUAAGAAAUGUUUAAAAUACUUAGGAAGGCUAUCCACCCUGUUUCCUUUUCCUCGAUUUAGAUGUGGUCUGGUGGGAUAUCGGGUACUCUUCCGAAGGUCAUUUAAAUAUUAGUUAUAUAUCAUGUGUACAUAUAUAGUCAUAAAUGUUCCAUCAGUUAAUUUAGUUCCGAUACUCUUGGGUAACAAGGGUGUAUAAACCUACUUGGACACUCAUCAAUUACAUUCUAGUAAACUAUUAUAGGAAUAGUUUAGGGUAUACAAAACAUUAUCUCUAUUACAAGAAAUUACACCAGAGUCAGUUCAUUCAUGAGUCUAGACUACAUGCUAUAUGAAAGGAUACUCUUACAAAGAUUCCGCGUACAUGAAUACAUUUACAUAGAUCAUAUAUGACGAGUUACUACUACAUAUGAUAUGUGUAGAUACUGUUAUAUAGAUCACCUUCUUAUCUUUACCUUGUGAUACAAUCACAUAAUCGACGAGAUGAAUUGGACUUUAUAUCCUAGUACCAAAGGAUACUUUGAGGGACUAACCAUUCCUAUAGCCACUGUUAGCUACAGAGGAUGAUGACAUAUCUACGGAUGUCUACGGUUGAUCAGUUUAUGGCGAGUUUCCACGUCGUGUGUAUCUUUACUUAAGGGACUAACUAUUCCUAAACCCAGCUGUUAGCAACAGAGGUAAAUGCACAUCUACGGAUGUCUACGGUUGAUCAGUUUACGGCGAGUUUCCACGCCGUGUGUAUCUUAGUACCAAAGGAUACAACAUAAGUUAUUAUUACUUUUAGAGUUUUAUAAUAAUAGUUAAACAGGGAAAAACCGUCACAUUUUCAAGUGAUGCGUACUUUCAAAACAGUCAGGUCUUAGUAAAAGACUACUUUCAAAACAUUCGGGUCUUGGUAGAAGACUACUUUUAUACUAGUAGGAAAUAUGGGAUUUUCUAGAGUUUUCAUACUUAUACUAAAUGUUUCAUCAAUCAUUCACCAGUCUUUCAUAACAACUAAUCAAAGCAAUGACAUUAAAUACUUAUGAACUCACCAGCUUAAAUGCUGACCUACACUUUCAAAAUAACUUGUAUUCUCAGGUUACAAAUAGACAGGUGCCGAUGCAAGGUUUAGAGAAGACGGAGCAGUCAAGACUCGUCUUUUAUUUUGAUCAGUUAUCAUGAUGUCUUGUACUAUGAAAGAAAACACUUGUAACUAAAAUUAUACUAUUAAUGCAAUGGAUGAUGUUGUUGCUUGUUUACUACUUUACAUUUGUUGUGAUGCAUACAUGACGUCCUCCGCCGCAGAACGUUUCCGCCGUUCUCGGUUUUGGGGUGUGACAGAUUGGUAUCAGAGCAUUGUUUAUAGUGAAUUGAGUAUAUCAACCCAUAAAAGAUAUACUAACUAUAAAUACAAUGGGAUUAAAAAUACUCUGAUUUAGAGUUUAUACUUUAAAUAAUAAAAUAUUUAAGUAAGUAUACGUGCCUGCAUUCAUACUAAAAUUAGUGUCACUAGGAAAGUACAAAAUAAUUACGAUUGUUAGGCAACACAAGUGGGCUUAGAGACAUAUGGUCAAAAUUGGGAAGAUAUAGCCUGAUCACCUAUAUUAUCCGAGGGUUGACUAGCAUGUGCCUAAGUUUAAUUGGGUGGUUGCAACAAUGCUAAAAUCUUACCAACCCUACCACAAUGAGAGCAAUAGAACAUAACAUAAAAACUAAAAUACUAUAGGAGUAUUUGUUGUUACUAUAAGUAUGUUAUACUUGAGAACUAAAACGGAAUCUUCAUCACUAAGUUCAUAGUUGCUAAGUGGAUACACUAAGGCUAUAUGUAAUUAGGAUGUUAUAGACUUAGAAUCUGUGAAGAUUUUACUUCACCCCUAUUAUGUGUGAAUACGGAGUUAAGGUCACUUAUUCGAAGGUCUAUCCUGUUAAAAUUACCCAUAGCUGGUAUGCACUUCACAAAUAGUGAUGUAACUAAUGAAGGUUUUCUGAAUAAUUAUCUAGAUAGUUCGUCUAAUAAUUAUUCUAUUACCCUUAAAUUCUCGCAUAGAAAACAUAGCUGGACUCCAUCCCCACGGCAACCAGUAUCUUCCGAACGAAGUCAUAGCUGGUUGGUUUGGAGAAGAACCAGAGAGAGAUCAUCCUCUCCCUUUGAAUGAUCACUGUGAUGAGAACCUUUCAGACGAUGCUAAUUCCGAACCAGAGGUUGAGAACAUACCCCCUGUAGCUCCAUUUCUAAAUCCUAACCCUCGUCCAACUUUUCAUGGCCCGAUGCCUCCUUGGGUACAAUUCUUGGAAACAUGGAGCGAAGAGCAAGAUCAACCUAUGCCGUUUAAUGGAGACCGAAGCUUGUACAAUAUAAAUUAAGGGAGCUCAAUAGACAGAGUUCUACCAAUCCUAACCCGUAGAAAUGCCCAAAAAGAAAUUCAGGGCGGGACAACUCUCCAACGUAUAGACGAGGUUAAUACCAAUGCAAGAAUGCAUACCAUUCGCACCAAUCGCCUUGAUCACAUGUGAGAGAUCUGAGAGAAACCAUGAGACCCUGCUUCAAGCACUAGCUGAAACCUAAGCCGAAGUCAUAGAGCUCCAAGUACACCAGAGGGGUACGAGAGAUACUUGCUUGAUAUGGAACGUCAACUAACUGAACUAAGGGUUCACCAUAGGGGUGACCGUCGCCAGUAAGAGAUACCUUACUUCCUUCUUUGUUUUAAAGAACCUUGUUCUUGUCUACGUUCUGUGUAGUACUUUCUAUGUAACUACCUUGUACUGUAAGUACUUUUAGUUAAGUCUUUAUGCUGUCAAAGACUUUUCUACUCUGAAUAUGAUGUAAGACCUACAACAAGGUCAAUUUCCCCAAACCAAUUAAAUCUUAAACAUCAAUGAUAUCGAUAGUCGUCAAAAUUCCGUGCCAAUCUUUAUUCAAAUGCUUUCAUUGGAGUCUAACUGAAACCCCAUCUAGUCAAGUUAUUGGACUAUGGUAAUUUAACUCCAAAAUCAUUUCCAUGUCUCUUUCAAAGGUUGGAUCAUGUUAUCCACCAACCAAAAAUACCCUGGUCUGGACGAUAAGAAUUUUGAAACCAUUCUAUUAAUUUACUACUACUCUAUACUAGGACUGCAUCAUAGGGAUGUAGGUCACACCUUCAUGGACAUACUCCUAUUCCGUACUGGGACUGCAUCAUAGGGAUGUAGGUCAAACCUUCGAGAACAUACUUCUAUUCUUUACAUGAACAAUCGAACUACGUCUAGGUUCAACCAUACUCGCUCACAAAUUCAUUUUUUUUUCGUGUAACAAAAUCAUGUCGCCGAAGAAAAAGGAUCAACCCAUCAACCAAAUACCAACUCUUCAGAUUGAUGCAGCUACCUUUCAAGUUGCAGUCUCGGCUGCCGUGUCAGCUGUUCUGACCCACCUGAACGCUAACAACGCGAAUGUGAGCGAGAUUCUUAACAAUAAUUCCAAUCCAAGUAACAGUCAAGUACCUCAACGAGAAACAAACUACCACGACACCCCGAAUACCAAGCCCAAGAAUAAUAAAAGAAAGUUCUGGGCUAAGGCUAAAGGCAAAUCAUCCCAAGGGGCGAGCAAACGACAACAACCUGCUGCAACCUUCGCAGCCACAACAUAUGUACCUCCUACUACCAUCCCUUCUGGUAUCCUAAUUGUCCCUACUCCAGCUAGGCAGUAUGCUGGAAACCUACCGUAAUGCAAUAAGUGCAGCUUCCAUCAUCUGGGUAGUUGUCGUCUGUUACACUGCUCUCAAUGCAACAAGAACGGACAUACUACGAAUUGCUGCAUGACUCGGAUCCAACACAUUACUUCAACCACCAAUGUCGAAAUCUCUCGAAUAUGCCAUUUAUGUGGCGUAAUGGGACACUUCAAGAGGGACUGUCCAACAGAGGAAAAUGACGGCGAAUCCGAAGGAGUUUGACCUCUUAAUGGAAAGAGGCAACAAAGGACCCCACUAUAGUAUAGGUUCACUUCCAAUCGUCAGUAUUAUGUAUGUUUUUAAAACAUGUUUAGAACUAGUGCAACUCGAGUCUUAUCUCUUGCGAGAUCCAGUCAGUUAAGGGAACCUCGUGCUGCGUAUACUUGCCUUUUAUAGUAUACUUUGUUCGCAGCAGUAUUCCUGUAGUUACUCUAAAGUACUGUAACUUUGUUAAAAAGUUGCACUGUUGUGUUUUGUCUGUAACGCCUUUAUGAUAAAAUCUAGUGCCUUUAAUUCCAAGUGAUUCCGAUUUCGUCAUAUGAUCAGAGUCUAUUUGAUCCUCACAAUACCAGUUUUAUGCGUAAAUAUCUUUCUCUGAAAUCAUCUUUCUAAUGAAACUAUCACUUCAGAACUCCGAAGUACUCAUGCGUAGAGUACCUCAUGUUUCUUACCCUUUCCAAAGAAACCUUAGCAAACCUCCCCAAACUACCACUCGUGCAGUACGUCAAGUUCAAUCCAAAGACCCACAGUUUCAAUCUUAAUCAUAUACGUCUCGUAUACCCGAGACUGUGAUUGAUGAACCUGGUAUGGGUUCUACUAUGAACUUCAGGACGGAGAGUGCCUAAGACUGNCCAAGACUGAGAGUGAUCAUGCUUCCGUGGGAAUAAACUUAGAAAUACCUAUCCUUUUCCCUAACUCAUGAUUAGUCAUACUUUCUUUUAGAUCUUCACGACAUCUAAUCCACCCCAAGGUUUUGACAUCAUAAUCAGUAGGAGUUGGUUAAGUCUACAUCGAUCCGACAUUAGGUGCUUUGAUAAAGCAGUUCAUCUUAACCUCCCUAUCAAAGAAUCUCUUGUUAUUUACGGAGACAAAUCAAGUAAGAACCUGCGCAUCAUUUCAUGUAUUUAAGCUCAAAAGCGCUUACGAAGGGAAUAUCACAUAUUCCUAGCACACAUCGUCGAUACGAGCCAAGAAGCGAAGGACAUUCAGAACAUCCCAAAAGUAUGUGACUUUCUCAACACCUUUCCAGAAGAACUACCGGGAUUACCCCCACAACGUCAAGUCGAAUUCAGAAUCGACUUAGUUCGAAGGGCUACCCCAGUGGCCAAAUCACCUUAUCAUCUAGCUCCAAUUGAUAUGCAAGAACUUCCUAGCGAGCUUCACAAACUCCUCAGAAGGGGAUUCUUUAGGCCAAGUUUCUCACAUGGAGGAGCACCGGACUAGUCUGUAAACAAGAAAGAGCGUUCCAAACGCUAAAGUAAGCCUGAUGCAUCGCACCAAUAUUAUCCCUCCCAAAAGGGAUAGAAUAUUUCGUGGUGUAAUGCAAUGCAUCCAACCAAGGGCUUGGUUGUAUUCUUCAGCAAGAGGAAAGGUCAUUGCCGAUACCUCAAGACAGCUUAAGACACAAGAAGUUAACUAUUCAACACGUGAUCUUGAGUCAUGAGCAGCGGUAAUUGGUUUGAAGAUCUGGAGGCACUACUUGUAGGGCAUACUCUCACAAACCACAAAACAUUCAACAUACAUUCGACCAAGAAGGGUUAUCAUACCAGCGAAGUGAAAUGAAAGAAGCAAAGUCGUAUCCCGAUAGUGAAAGGUUCGCGGGAAUGCCAAUCGAGGACCUGAGUUCGCUUAAGAACACGAGAAGCAAAUAAAACUUCUAUCCGUAACAUAAUUAUUAUGUCCUGCUUAAACUCUAAUUUCGGGACGAAAUUCCCUCUAACGGGGGGAUGAUGUGACAACCCAAUAUUUAGAGACAAUGUAAUGUAAAACCAGUCAUAUUUAGGUCAAAAUAUAACUUUCCUAAAAUCUUAUUUGGGUUAAAUAAAGUAGUAGGAAUGGUAUCAAGGUUUUCGUACAUAUAAAGAACCCUAAAAUCCGAGUUAUAACGAGGAAGUUAUGACCAUUCUAAGAUUUCCGACAAAACCGACAACACCGAUUAAACGAAAAACGCAAAGUUUCCAUACAAUAGUUUUUAGCCUUAAGUAUCUAAAUGAAAGUUGUAGAUAGCAUUAAACCGUGAGCGUACAUAAAAAGAACGUCCAAAUCUGACUUCGUAUGAGGAAGUUAUGAUUUUUCCAAGAUCCGGAUAUAGCAGUAGACAACUAAAAACUCGAAAUAGAGCUCGAGAGACUUUUGACCAAAACAACCUAAAUGAGAAUCGAAGGUCUCAAAAAUAGUAUCACAAUGGCGAAAGUCUGAAAAAAACGGACAUCGGAUGAAAAAGUUAUGGAAUUUUAACGGACUUUUCGUGUCCCGGCCCGUUAAAAAUAAAUAAUUAAAAAUAAAUUCUGAAUUUGCAGAUGAAGUCUAAACGAGAGUUGUAGAUCAUGUUUUUAGUUACGCGUGCAUAUAAAGAACGUUGAAAACGGAGCUCGUACGCGAAAGUUAUGGAUUUUACAAGUUCGAGGCCCGAAAUCCGAGGCUGUCAGGCUUGCCACGACGUGGCACAAGUUGCCACGACCCGGCAAGUGACUGAGGGCGUCCAAUCAAUGGAAGAGGAUAAGUUUGACUCCCCACGACGUGGCCAUCACUUUCCACGACUGGCACACCUCAAAAAUGCCCCUAUAUAUAGAUUUCAAGGGUUCCGAGCUCCAUUGCCCAGUUCCCUUCUUUGUUGCGCCGAAACUCUGCGUUUAAGCCCCCGAGACCCUCCCGAAGCCCCGGUUUUCACCUUCAAGUCCCGAAGGAGGGUUUUGUGUUCCCGAGAUUCCCGAGAAUCCCGAGAUUUCCCGCGUUUUCAACUCUUCCUAUCGAAGUUCUGCUCGAUUCUUCUAUCGACUACUUCAAAUCAAUCACUUCAAUCAAGUGAGUUCAUACCCCUAUAAUCUACACUUUCAAAUGAUUUAUAAAUGAUUUUUAUACACUUUUAAGGAGGGGAAUGCAAGUAAACACACGGUUAUCCCCGUGUGAAAGACAUAAAUCCUUCUUAUACUUUUUGGUUAUGUAAUCAAUCACAUGUGAUUUAUAACUAACAUACAAUUGGACUUACUACACUUUUAGCCGUUUAACCAAACAGAGUACUUCAAAUAGCUUUCUCAAAUGUUUUUACAUGUUAAAACACUUUUAUAAACUGUCUUACAANCCGAUUUAUAAACUGACAUCAAGUCAUAAAUUCUUAUUUAUUAAACUUUUCAAAAGUUUUACAAAACUUCUUUUAUGCUUUUAUAUUAUAAAAUGCAUGCCUCUAUAUGUAUAGUUAUAUAAGAAAUGUUUAAAAUACUUAGGAAGGCUAUCCACCCUGUUUCAUUUUCCUCGAUUUGGAUGUGGUCUGGUGGGAUAUCGGGUACUCUUCCGAAGGUUAUUUAAAUAUUAGUUAUAUAUCAUGUGUACAUAUAUACUCAGAUAUGUUUCAUCAGUUAAUUUAGUUCCGAUAAUCUUGGGUAACAAGGGUGUAUAAACCUACUUGGACACUCAUCAAUUACAUUCUAGUAAACUAUUAUAGGAAUAGUUUAGGGUAUACAAAACAUUAUCCCUAUUACAAGAAAUUACACUAAAGUCAGUUCAUUCAUGAGUCUAGACUACAUGUUAUAUGAAAGGAUACUCUUACAAAGAUUUCGCUUACAUGAAUACAUUUACAUAGAUCAUAUAUGACGAGUUACUACUACAUAUGAUAUGUGUAGAUACUGUUAUAUAGAUCACCUUCUUAUCUUUACCUUGUGAUACAAUCACAUAAUCGACGAGAUGAAUUUUACAUUAUAUCCUAGUACUAAAGGAUACUUUGAGGGACUGACCAUUCCUAUAGCCACUGUUAGCUACAGAGGAUGAUGACAUAUCUACAGAUGUCUACGGUUGAUCUGUUUAUGGUGAGUUUCCAUGCUGUGUGUAUCUUUACUUAAGGGACUAACUAUUCCUAAACCCAGUUGCUAGCAACAGAGGUAAAUGCACAUUUACGGAUGUAUACGGUUGAUCAGUUUACGGCGAGUUUCCACGCCUUGUGUAUCUUAGAACCAAAGGAUACAACAUAAGUUAUUAUUACUUUUAGAGUAUUAUAAUAAUAGUUAAACAUGGAAAAACCGUCACAUUUUCAAGUGAUGCGUACUUUCAAAACAAUCAGGUCUUAGUAAAAGACUACUUUCAAAACAUUCGGGUCUUGGUAGAAGACUACUUUUAUACUAGUAGGAAAUAUGGGAUUUUCUAGAGUUUUCAUACUUAUACAAUGUUUCAUCAAUCAUUCACCAGUCUUUCAUAACAACUAAUCAAAGCAAUGACAUUAAAUACUUAUGAACUCCUACGCUUUCAAAAUAACUUGUAUUCUCAGGUUACAAAUAGACAGGUGCCGAUGCAAGGUUUAGAGAAGACGGAGCAGUCAAGACUCGUCUUUUAUUUUGAUCAGUUAUCAUGUUGUCUUGUACUAUGAAAGAAAAUACUUGUAACUAAAAUUAUACUAUUAAUGCAAUGGAUGAUGUUGUUGCUUGUUUACUACUUUACAUUUGUUGUGAUGCAUACAUGACGUCCUCCGCCCCAGAUCGUUUCCGCCGUUCUCGGUUUUGGGGUGUGACACCUACUCGCCGAGUCCACAAUGUGACUCGCCGAGUUCAUCAGGAAGAAUGUCCAAAAAUGAUUUUUGCAACUAGAAUAAACACAUAAUGGAUCAAUACAAUAGAAACGAAUCAAGGCUCUGAUACCACUGAUGGGUUUUAGCCAUAAGAACAUCCUAUGUGCUCAUACAAACCCUAAUGCUUGGAUCUAGGUUUCUCUAUUGUACAUGCAAUUCAUCCAAGACUAUAAACCCUAGAUCUAGCAUAUGAUAAUCAAUAUAGCAUAUAAAUAUGGGUUUAGAUCAUACCUUGAUUAUUAUGUAGCAAUAAGAAUCUCAAAUCCUUCUUGUAUUGACUGUAGAAAGCUUAGAGUCACAAAUAUCACUCCUCUAAUGUUUCAUAAACACCAAGAGAUAGAGGAUGAAGAGGCGAAGAGAAGGAGGCUGCCCAAAACAUGUGGAAACCCUAGAAGGAACCUUGUCCACGUUUUUGGGCAUAAGGGUUCUUUAAAUAGUGAGGCUAUUUGGGUUAUCUAACAAGGAAACCCUAAUAUGGAUGCUUAAGCCCUAAGCAACCCAUGGGCUCCCUCCUUAAAGGCCUUUGGAUGAUUUCUAAUGGGUUUCCCCAUAGAAUUCGUCCUCCCCUUUAAUAUGGAGUCCAUUAGCUCAAUAUUCAACUAUCAUACAAUUGACAGUUGUAGUCCCUUUAGUUUAAUUAAUGUCUUUUAGUCACAAACUUAAUUCUUAUUAAUUCUUGACUAAUAUUAAUUAAACAAUAUGAUUUCUCCUUUAAUAUAUUAUUCUCAUAAUAUAUUAAUAAAUCAUAUUUAAUCCUUUCUCUCAAUUAUUCAUCCUAUCAAGUCUCUUUGGUGAAGGCAACCCAAAAGGACCAUGCACCAUCGGGUCAAGUACAUACAAAAAUAUUUAUGGACUUAAACACUAAUCCAACAGGAUCACCUUUCUGGCAUAUAUCACCCUCUCGUCAGCUAUGGAAACUCUCAGAGGACGAAUCAAUGCCUCACGACUAACACUGAUAUGCUGACUAAAAGCAAAAGACACAAAGACCGACUCGCACCCGAGUCAAAUAACACUAAGGCAAGAACAGAAUUCACAAGAAAAGUACCUACACAUAACAUAAUAUAAGCAUAAUAUCUCAACAUCAAAAUAAAUACACAAAAGAAUACAUACCAGCCACGACAUCGGGCGCUGCGCAGACCUCCUCCGUGGUCAACUGAAAGGCUCUCCCACGUGCCCUCAGCGCAUCGACCUUCACUGGCCGACUCUCGGUAGCUCUGAUGGCGGCAGGGGCAGAUCCCUAAGGUGCUCCCUGUGCUGAUCCCCGCAACUGCGGACACUCUGCCUUCUGGUGUCCGGUGUGAUUGCAGUGAAAACAUACUGCAAACCCCUUGGGGCAGUCCUUGGCCAUGUGCCCCUCCUUGCCACAUUUGUAGCAAGACCCUGCUCUGCACACCCCGUCGUGGCCCUUGGCAAGUGCGGCCCCUCUGGCUCCCUGAUCUCGAAUCGNGCUGAGACUGCACCGGUCACCGAUCCCUCCCCUGAGACUCAGCCUCCUCCCUAGCCUGAGUCUCCAGCUCUAUCUCCCUCUUCCGGGCAUUUUCCUGAAGCUCGGAAAAUGUCAGUACGUUGAGUUUGCCACGAACUCACAUAUGUCCCUCCUCAGAAUGCUCAAAUAUCGACUCAUACUUGCCUGCUAGGAGGACACGUGCUUUGGGCAGAACAUCGCAUGAAACAUCCUCAUGAUCACCGUAACAGACUUAGUACCAUGCUUGAGGGUCAGAAACUCCUGGGCCAAACGCUCCCUCUCCACCUAGGGAACAUACUCAUCUCGGAACAUAGUAGUGAACCUCUCCCAGGUCACUGCUGCAAGCUCAGCAGGCGUAUAGUGUGUCGUCACAAAUUUCCACCAGUCCUUCGCUCCCAAGCAAAGCUGGUUCAGCGCGAACCUGACUCUCAAAUGCUCAAGAGAUGAGCAAGUAAAGACACACCCCUCUAUGUCUGAAAUCCAUCUCAUCGCCGCAAUCGGGUCCUGGGUCCCGUCAAACUCCGGUGGUUUUGUGUUGCUGAACUCUCAGAACAGCAACGCAUCACCACCCUGCGGCCUCGUCGCAGCUAUAGCUACAGUGGCCGCAACAACNCAUCAACAGUAGCCUCAGAAAGAGCAGCGUACUUCUCAUCAAAUGUCUCUAUCAGCGUGGUCUUGAUAGUCCCAAACAUCUCUGGUAUCUUUGCCCUGAUGGCCGCAACCACCUUCUCCUGGAUGAUCCUACGGAUCUAGUCAUCCCUCGAAUCACUGAUCCCUGAUGUGUGGCGAGUCCCAACCAUGAUCUCUCUCUCUCCGAAAUACAACAUAAGAAUAAUAUCAGGGACUCGCUCGAGUAUAUUCACACUUGAGUACUCCAUCCUACUUGUUCCUUGGUACUCCAAAGAUUCUUACCUGGACUGUGCACUGACCCGGUGUCUUCAGUAGUACGGGCCCAAUACUACCGUCCACACCGCAUCAGCAUCCACCACAAGUCCUCCUCCGAGAGUCCCAAGUCCCAAGCACUUUACUCUCUCUAAUCAUAUGAUACUCGUAAACAGAUCUGUCACAAUCUCGUCGCUGCUACCUAACUACUCUGAAAUAUUCAUAGCACCAAGACUCCUAAACUCAGGCAUCACAUAUCAGGCCACUCUAGUCCUAAUAAGAAUACCUAGUCUACUCUAGCAUGCAUAUCAUAGCACAUCAUAUAACAUAUCACAUCAUAUCUCAUAACAAAUAUAAUAAUGGUAUUUUGGGAAAUCACCAUUCGGGCGUUGGCUGUUCGUACACAUGACUCUGCUCUGUUUGUCUUGCAAGUUAAAAGUGGUGUAAGCGAACUCCAUUGAACGUUAAAACCCUCCGUUUCGCUAAAACCUACUUAUUUGGAAGUUUCGAGAAGAAGAGGAUGGAAUAUAGAUGAAACGUUCGGCUAGAAGGGUGAUUGUACAAUGUGCAUCAAAACUUAUACUAAUAACUACAUUAAUUCUACUCACAAAACGUGAGUUACCUUCUGUAUAUAUUUAUAAUUAACAAUAAAUCACCAACUCAUACCUAUAAAUCUUUUCAGCAAAUGAAAAACGAGCAGAAGAAAUGAAAAUCCCAAGGUGAAAAGAACAGCACGAGAGGGUGGUAGAAGCAAAUUUACAUAUUCCCGCCGAUUCUUCUGCUCUAAUUCCUGUCGAUGCUCUAACAAUCAAAAUCGAUUGUUACAUCUAGCGUUAAAAUAAAGGAGGUGUGGUGUGAAGUGAGAUAUAAGAACUCAAAAUCGAUGUCCUUCCUUGCAUUGAUUGGUUUGGGGUUUUGGUGGAGACGAGGGUAUGGAUUUUGGGGUGGGCAGAACCUAGGUCUAAAAUUUGGAGAUUAGAGGUAAUUGAAAGUUGAAAAUGAAAAAGAAAACUGCGCUUUUUUUUUUUGUCUAGAGGCGCCAAAAUGAAAAUAAAGAUAGGUACAGUGUCACAGAUGAUAAUGUGACACUAAAAAUAGAAAGAUACAGGGGCACAAAGGAAUUUGAGCCACUAAAAAUAUGAUAUAGUGGCACAACAAAGAAUAUGCCACUAAAAGUUUGUGCCACUAAAUGUAAAUUUAUUUGUAGUGAAGACGAAAUUAAAAAUUCAUUUUAUUGCGGAAAAACUUGUCCUUACAAUGCAAUUUAAAUGACAACUAUGCUAUUUGAAUUUCUAAGCAAUCUAUUCUAACUCUAAAGUAGUAGCUUAAAAAUUCGAUCUUCAGGCAAUGUGAUCGAAAUCCAUUUCUUCACGACCAGAUUCACCUUACUUCUUCCCUUAAGAUUCCUCUCUUUUCUUCGAUCCUACAAAACAUCAAAAUGUAAUCUUAUCACAUCAUGUAUUGAAAAUUAAAGAAUAUGAACUUGUAGAGUUUGUUAUUGGAUUUUACCUGAAAUAGAGCCAUACGUCUUGACUCUCCCAUCUCUUAGAUCUCUCAAGUAGUUUGGACAGCUUCGUCUCCAAUGGCCCUUCUCUUGGCAAUAAAAGCAAAUGGACACCUUUGGCACAACACAUGGGACAAUCUCAUACUUAGUCCUUUCUGGACUUCCAAUGUUGCCAGUGUCCAUUGAAAUUUGGGAGUUUGACUCACCAGACAAAUUUGGUUGACCAACUUGCCAAAUCAUUGUUGAUUCAACAACUAUAAGCAAAUAUGUGAGAUCAAUGAGGGUCACGUCGUGUUCCAUCAUAUAGUACUCUCUUAAGAACUCGCUAUUUGAUUCAGGAAGCGACUGAAGAACCCAGUCAACAGCCAACAUCUCUGAGAUAUCGACACCCAACAUCCUUAACCUAUCAAUGUGUGACUUCAUCUCUAAGACAUGUGCACACACAAGUUUCCCAUUUUUGUGUUCAGUUGCCAAAAGGGCUUGAGUGAGUUUUAACUUUCAAGUCUUCGAACUUGUCGGUUAGGGAUAACAAUAGGAGGAGGUGGAGGAAGUGAAGCAUGACUCUCAUUUCCUUAAUCAUAUCGUGGAAUGUCAUCUUCAUUUGGAAAAUUUGUUCCAAUGAAUUUGGGAAGACCAUUAUUAGAUUCAGACAUCUACAAAACGGGAGAAAAUUCAAGUUAGUUGAUAAGAAUCCUUGAUGUAACACCCAAAUGAAACAUCAAGGCUAGGAUCCAACACAAUAUUCUACAACCUAGAAGAUGGAUGUCGUAAUCUUGUUGCAAAAUAUUUGAAGGUAGGUAAAUGACGAUUUACCAAUUUUCACCAUUAAAAGCGAAAAUAAAUUUAAGUUUUAAAUGAAUUGAAACUCCUAGAUCUUUUGAGAUUCAUUGAACUUUUCAAUGGCAUGUUUAAUCUCAAUUAUGCCCUACUAUUUUCAACUGGGAUGCCGAGGAUCACAAACAAGGUGUGAAUAACCAUGCGAAUCACGUGGUGCACUCAAUGCUUCUAUCACCUAAUCAAUGUGUCGGUUAGCCACACACGCUCCAUUGAUCUAUGACAAACAUCGAGCUACCCUUCGCUACCAAUGCCAAACCCAAAUUAGUCUGCCGGUAACCACACACGCUCCACUAACGUCUCGGCAAGGGUACAAAGUUUCAUUCCAUGGAUUAGCAUACAAUUUCACAUUUUGCCUAAAGUAAGUAUGAUUUGGGAAUUUUAAAAAACAUUUAGUUACUUAAUACUUUAUUAUACUUAUAUUGGAAGGUUUCUGUCCUAUCCUACCCGUUCAGCUAACGGCCCUCCACUAGCCAAGAGUGCGGUGGGUAAGAGUGGAUACCCAUUCAAUCGCCAUUUUAUAGGCAAUUUCCUUAAACACCCCUUAUAGACCAGCUUCGUGAAUGAGGCCUACUNUUAAACUUUUAAUAAAAAAUUUAAAUUCCAAAACUUGAGAGCGAGUUUUGAAACUUUUCAAGACAUUAGGGUUUAACUAUUUAAAUUUCAAAACCAAAACUUUUAAGUUCAAAUUUAAAUUACAAAACCUAAAGGGGAAAAUUGAAACUUUUCAAAUAAGGCAAUUAUCUAAUUUUGACUUAGUCAAAUAUCGUGCAGGAUAAUUCAUCAAAUAACUAAAAUAGUUAUGUAACACCGUAAAAAUUAAAACAAUUUUUCACAUUUGAAAACACAUUUUAAAUAAAACCAUUCAUUAAUAAAAUUUCAUAGCAUCAUGUUUUAAAUUCACAAAUGUCUCCCAAGAUCAAAAUACAUGCAAUCCCAUAUGUGUGUACGAAUCAAGUCGGCGCCUUCCCGCGGUCAUCACUGGUAUCUGAAACACAUAACACUGAACACUGUAAGCAUAAGCUUAGUGAGUUCCCUAAAAUACUACACUAAUCACAUAAUAGCCACUCAAGGCUGUAACUCUGUUGACCCUCUGGUCAAUGUGUCUUAGUGGGGCUCUCCAACCCCAACUCUCUGUGGACCCUCUGGCCCAACUCUAGGGACCCGAAAGUCCCAACUCUGUAACUCUGAAUCAUGCAUANAUUUUUCACAUUUGAAAACACAUUUUAAUUAAAACCAUUCAUUCAUAAAAUGUCAUAACAUCAUGUUUUUAUUUCACAAAUGUCUCCCAAGAUCAAAAUACAUCCAAUCCCAUGUGUGUGUACGAAUCAAGCCGGCGCCUUCCCGCGGUCAUCACUGGUACCUGAAACACAUAACACUGAACACUGUAAGCAUAAGCUUAGUGAGUUCCCCAAAAUACCACACUAAUCACAUAAUAGCCACUCAAGGCUGUAACUCUGUUGACCCUCUGGUCAAUGUGUCUUAGUGGGGCUCUCCAACCCCAACUCUCUGUGGACCCUCUGGCCCAACUCUAGGGACCCGAAAGUCCCAACUCUGUAACUCUGAAUCAUGCAUAUCACAUAUCACAAUAAAUCACAUCACAUAAUAACAUGCAAUCACACUGGCAUAUAACUAUAUAAUACUCUAUCUCUUAACUUUAUUACCACACUAGGUAAAGUAUAGUGAGAAGACUCACCUCGGGUAUCUCGGUAAAUCUCUGACUCGGUAAACGCUGGCCUAGCCUCCGCCUAAUCAUAUGAAAAUAACACUCUAUUUAAUAUAACUCUCAAAGGCUAGACUAUGCUCUCUUAUGACACUCUCAGAAGGGUGAAAGACCAUUUUACCCCUCUCAUAGCUCAAAGGCCCCACAAUAGACCAUACCCUAAAAGUCAACCAAAAGUCAACUCUCCGGGUUACGCUACGCGUACCAGAUAUGUACGCUGAGCGUACCCGGCUGCACCUCAGAAUCGGGGAGUACCACCCAGUACGCGGCGCGUACUAGGAAUUACGCCUGACGUACUCCCCUACUUCAGCCCUUUUGCUCUUGAGGUCUUAAAUAGUUAAGACCUACNUUUUAGAUCUGACCCCAUCUAAGCCCCUUAAUCCAUAAAGUUGAUGACUUUAAGCCUUUGCAUGGCUGAACAAGUCACUAACUCCCAAAAUGAUCCAACCUUCAACUCUAGAAGGCUUAAAACACAUGCAUGACUCCAAAGUAACAUCCAAGAUGGGGACUUUAUGGCUCUAAAUCAACAGUAACACUGAAAAGGGACAGAUCUCGGACCAUGGAGCACUUUACACUCAUAAAGUCUCCACCUUAGGGGUUUUUAUCCCUAAAAAGGACACAUACAACAACAACCAAAAGAAGAGGAAAGUUUUGAACUUUAUACCUCCAAGUGCAGCCCUUUCCUCUGUAGAUCUCAAAUCCAAAAUGGCACCUCAAGCUUUAGCCUCCAAGAACUCCCUUCCUUCUUCUUCACUAAGACACUAAAGCACCAACAAGCUCAAAUGAACACUCUCACACUCUAAGAGCGAUGGGGCUCUCUUUUAGGGUUUCACUCACUGAUAUGGAGGCUAAGGAAUGAGCCGUAACACCCUUUAAAUAGUGCAGAAGGAGGAUUAUGGUUUUUGCACCUGGGCUAGGUACGCCCGACGUAACUCUAGGUACACCCGACGUAACUCUAGGUACGCCCAGCGUACCUUGGCGACUCCGCGUCCAAAUUAAGCGUGUGAGUACACGCAGCGUACCCCUCUGGUACGCCCAGCGUACUCACUUGCUACAAACCCUCCACUCAAGGACUAAACAUUCCCAAACAAUAAAGAACAAGGAUGAAAGGAAUAUACCUAUAUCUCGGGAUGUUACAAAUUAAACAUUUUCUUAUAUGGUAACAAAUAUUUGAUUAAAUGGUAAUUAUCUACUAUUUUUGGUCAGAAUAUUCACCUAAAAUCAAUAAAAAUCGGAUUUUAUUAAUUAAAAANNNNNNNNNNNNNNNNNNNNNNNNNNNNNNNNNNNNNNNNNNNNNNNNNNNNNNNNNNNNNNNNNNNNNNNNNNNNNNNNNNNNNNNNNNNNNNNNNNNNUAAUUAUCUUUUGUUUAAUCAAGGAUAUACUCAUAAAUAUGUAUAGAUUCGGAUUUUAAUGAUCUAAAACAUAUAAGGCAAGUAUCCAUGAGAAAAACCACAAGAAAUCCCGAAAUCCCCUCUUUCUGACGCUUGAACUCGCCGAGUACCCCUAUGGACUCGCCGAGUAGGGGCCUACUAUGACAACCCAAUAUUUAGAGACGAUGUAAUGUAAAACAAGUCAUAUUUAGGUCAAAAUAUAACUUUCCUAAAAUCUUAUUUGGGUUAAAUAAAAUAGUAGGAAUGGUAUCAAGGUUUUCGUACAUAUAAAGAACCCUAAAAUCCGAGUUAUAACGAGGAAGUUAUGACCAUUCUAAGAUUUCCGACAAAACCGACAACACCGAUUAAACGAAAAACGNGAAGUUUCAAUACAAUAGUUUUUAGCCUUAAGUAUCUAAAUGAAAGUUGUAGAUAACAUUAAACCGUGAGCGUACACAAAAAGAACGUCCAAAUCUGACUUCGUAUGAGGAAGUUAUGAUUUUUCCAAGAUCCGGAUAUAGCAGUAGACAGCUAAAAACUCGAAAUAGAGCUCAAGAGACUUUUGAGCAAAACAACCUAAAUGAGAAUCGAAGGUCUCGAAAAUAGUAUCACAAUGGCGAAAAGUCUGACGAAAACGGACAUCGGAUGAAGAAGUUAUGGAAUUUUAACAGACUUUUCGUGUCUCGGCCCGUUAAAAAUAAAUAAUUAAAAAUAAAGUCAGAAGUUGCCGAUAAAGUCUAAACGAGAGUUGUAGAUCAUGUUUUUAGCUACGAGUGCAUCUAAAGAACGUCAAAAACAGAGCUCGUACGCGAAAGUUAUGGAUUUUACAAAUUCGAGGCCCGAAAUCCGAGGCUGUCAGGCUUGCCACGACGUGGCACAAGCUUGUCGCGACCCGGCAAGUGACUGAGGGCGUCCAAUCAAUGGAAGAGGAUAAGUUUGACUCCCCACGACGUGCCCAUCACUUUCCACGACUGGCACACCUCAAAAAUGCCCCUAUAUAUAGAUUUUAAGGGUUCCGAGCUCUAUUGCUCAGUUCCCUUCUUUCUCGUGCCGAAACUCUGCGUUUAAGCCCCCGACACCCUCCCGAAGCCCCGGUUUUCACCUUCAAGUCCUGAAGGAAGGUNNNNNNNNNNNNNNNNNNNNNNNNNNNNNNNNNNNNNNNNNNNNNNNNNNNNNNNNNNNNNNNNNNNNNNNNNNNNNNNNNNNNNNNNNNNNNNNNNNNNUUCCAAAGUCAAUCACACAGGCAUGCAACAUAUCUUCUAAGGUUUCGAUAGUUCUCNCUCUCACUUUUCCCGUCGGUCUGUGGAUGGUAAGCUGUACUCAUGUCCAUCCUAGGUCCUAGGGAACUUUGUAAUGACUGCCAGAAUCUCGAAGUGAAUCUACUAUCUCUGUCCGAGAUGAUAGAUAAAGGAACACCAUGUAGCCUUACAAUCUCCCUAAUGUAUGUUCUGGUAAGUUUCUCCAUCUUGUCUGUUUCUUUGAUCGGUAGGAAGUGUGCAGACUUGGUCAAUCUAUCGACAAUAACGCAUAUGGAAUCAAGUCCACCCGUCGUCUUGGGCAACUUGGUUAUGAAAUCCACAGUGAUCCACUCCCACUUCCAUUAUGGUAUGUCCGGUUGGUGUAGGAAACCAGAGGGUUUCUGGUAUUCGACCUUGACCUUUGCGCAAGUAAGGCAUUUACUCACGAAGGUAGCAAUAUCUGCUUUCAUGUUAGGCCACCAGUAUAACUUUUUAAGAUCCAGAUACAUCUUAUCUGAACCCGGGUGGACGGAAUAACGAGUGUUGUGAGCUUCAGUCAUGACCAAGUCUUUGAAGCCACCGUGUUUCGGUGUCCAGAUAUGAUCCAUGAGGUAUAAGGCUCUGCCACCCUUGGCUUUUAAGUUCUUAUCCAUCCCUCUAUGGGAUUCACCAUCCACGUUUUCAGGUUUCAAAGCAUCGAGCUGAGCCUCCUUUAUUUGCGUGGACAAGUGUGAAUGGAUAGUUAGAGUCAAAUAUUUGACUCUACGACCAAUAUAUUCUUUCCGACUUAGGGCGUCGGCUACUACAUUGGCUUUACCUGGGUGAUAAUGAAUUUCACAUUCAUAAUCGCUGAGUAGCUCGACCCACCGUCGUUGUCUCAUGUUGAGCUCCUUCUAUUUGAAAAUGUGUUGCAGACUCUUAUGGUCUGUAAAGAUCGUGCUUUUUGUACCGUAUAGGUAAUGUCGCCAGAUCUUCAGAGCAAGCACAACUGCUCCUAGUUCAAGAUCAUGGGUUGUGUAGUUAACCUCAAGUGUCUUCAGCUAUCUCGAGGCAUAGGCGAGUCCUUGAUUGGAUGCAUCGCAAUAGACAAUAAAGUCUUCUAUCCCUUCGGUGAGGGAUAGUAUCGGUGCGGUGCACAAGGCCCGUUUGAGUGUUUGGAACGCUCUUUCUUGUUUCUCUUCCCAGUCAAAGGCCACGCCUUUUUGGGUCAGGGUUGUCAUAGGUUUCGCUAUGCUGGAGAAGUUCUGAAUGAACCUGCGAUAGUAGCCAGCGAGACCUAGAAACUGAUGAAUUUUUGUAGGUGUCUUCGGUGCAGACCAGCUCUCAAUGGCUUUGAUUUUGGAGGGUUCCACGUGUAUUCCCCCUUCGCUAACAACAUGGCCCAAAAAUUCGACUCGUCGAAUCCAAAAUUCGCACUUUGAGAACUUCGCGUAGAGCUUCUCCGAUCGCAAUGUUUCUAAGAUUUUACGGAGAUGUUGACUAUGUUCCUCUUUACUUCGAGAGUAGAUGAGUAUGUCAUCAAUGAAGACGAUGGCGAACUGAUCCAAUUAAGGACGACACACCCUAUUCAUCAGAUCCAUGAAUACUGCGGGCGCGUUAGUUAAUCCGAACGGCAUCACUACUAACUCGUAGUGCCCAUAACGAGUUCGGAAGGCUGUCUUGGGAACAUCCUCCUCUAACAGUCGUAGUUGGUGGUAUCUGGAUCGCAGAUCUAUCUUCGAGAAAUAGUUGGCUCCUUGAAGUUGAUCAAAUAAAUCGUCAAUGCGGGGCAAGGGAUAACAAUUUUUAAUGGUAAGUUUGUUGAGUUCUCUAUAGUCGAUGCACAUGCGAAACGAUCCAUCUUUCUUCUUGACGAACAAGACCGGUGCUCCCUAGGGUGAGAAGCUUGGUCAAAUGAAUCCCUUCUUGAGAAGUUCGUUAAGUUGACUGGAAAGUUCCUGCAUCUCGGUCGGUGCCAAAUGAUAAGGAGAUUUGUCUACUGGGGUAGCUCCUGGCACUAAGUCGAUUCUGAACUCGACUUGGCGUUGCGGUGGUAAACCGGGAAGUUCUUCUAGGAAUAUGUCGGGAAAGUCACGUACUUCUGGGAUGUUCUGUAUGUCUUUCAGUUCUUGACUGGUAUCGACGACGUGUGCGAGGAAUGCAUGAUAUUCCUUUCGCAAGCACUUCCGGGCUUGAAUGCAUGAAAUGAUGUGAAGGCUCGUACUAGGUUUAUCGCCAUAGAUAACUAAGGUUUCGUUGUUAGGAAGGUUAAGACGAACUGCUUUUUCAAAGCACAUGAUGUCGGCGCGAAGAAGACUCAACCAAUCCAUACCGAUGAUAACGUCAAAACAUUUAAUUGGGACUGGCAUGAGAUCUAUCUUGAAAGUAUGGCGAUCUAAAUUUAAGGUACAACCUACUUAUAUGCAGUUAGUACUCUCCGUUUUCCCGUUAGCCAUUUCUACUGUGAAUGGAUUAUCUAAAGCACAAGGUUUUUGUUUAAGUAGGUGUGCGAAUUUGUGACUUACAAAACUUUUCUCUGCUCCACUAUCGAAAAGUAUGCAAGCAUAUGAGUUAUCGAGGAGAAAUGUACUAGUAAAUAUCGUAGGAUCAGCUACCGCUUCCUCAUGGCCUAGGGCCAUAAUUCUCCCUACUCCUCCAACCAACCCUGCUUUAGGGCAGUUCCUCUUGUAGUGGCCCACUUCGCCACAACCGAAGCAAGCUUGGCCCAUACCGGCGUUAGGAACCUGGGCGGCCUGAGUUGUUGGAGUUUGGCAGAAACGGGUUGUGUGCCCCUUCCUUUUGUAGUUAGUGCAUUGCAUCUCCCUGGAAGGACCGCGGUGGUGGAAGCUGCAUUUGUUGCACUUCGGGAGAGAUCCAGCAUAAGUUUUUGCUGGUAAGGGGUUCGCAGGGACAACGGGAGUCACUGUGGCAGCAUUGAUUGCCACAAGUUGUUGUCUCUUGGAGGAUCCUUGCGAAGCCCCCCUUUUCCUCUUAGACCACCCUUUCUUGUUGCUGUCAGGGUUGGACUUUUGGGGUACGAGUGUAGGGAUUGUUGGGUUUUGAGGUUUCCAGUGAUUGAUGAGAGAUUGUGCCAGUUCCUUGGCGCUAUCGAAGGUAAUAGGCCUGGAAGCGAUCACACUUGACUGGAUCUGGGGCGACAGUCCCCAGAUAUAUCUCUCUAUCUUUUUGCUCUCAAGCGCAACCAUAUCAGAGAAUAAGUUUGCCAGAUCACAGAACCUAUUUGUGUAGGUCGUGAUGUCGGAUCCAACCAUUUGAAGACCCCAAAAUUCCUCCUCGAGUUUCUAUACUUCACCAGCUAAUGGAAUACGCCACCACCAAAGUCAGAUAGUUAACAUGGCUGUUCCACCAUGUUAGUGCUCUGUCAGAGAAGGUACAAGCUGCAAACUUGACCUUGUUGCCCUCCUGGCAAGCACAGAUUUCAAAGACGGAUUCCAUCUUUUCAAUCCAUUGUCUCAACACCAUAACACCCCCAGUUCCAUUGAAGCUGCGGGGUUUGGCGUUCGUGAAGUCCUUGUAGGUGCAUUCCCGAGGGUGUCCAUGGCUUUCGCCGUGGUUCGAGGGUGGUGCACCUGUUCCUGAUCCACUAGGGGCAGGAGCGUUGAUUGCUGACACAGCAGCUGCAACUGCUGCUGUGAAAGCUGCCUGGAACAUAUUGGCAUCGAAAGGAUUAGGUGGUUGAAGAGGUUCAGGUGGUGGUGGAGGUGGUGGUAUCGGUGCUUCGUUGUUUGGGUUACGCCUUGUAUUUCUGCGUGGCGGCAUCUUUAACUAUACGUUUAAAAGAUGACGACAUGGAUAAGAAUAAAUGAUUAAUGAAUGUGUCUCAUGGACUAAAUCCCCAUAGCCCAACAACAGAAGGAAUAGUAUGACUAAAUGAAGAAGACAGCAUUUGGAUAAUAAUUUCCAUAAGAUUAGAUAUCUGUCAAUAAUACUGGAAUUACAGAUGUAACAAGUUCGGGAAAAAUGGCCUAGAAGUAGGCCUUACAUCAACCAAGAUGGAAAAUUUUGACAGAAUUAAGACUAGAUCAAGACCUAACAGGUCUAAGAUUUAUAAAGAUAGGAAAUUAGACCAAAGUUUUACAUAAACUAGGUUAUAUCCAAAAGAUGAGUCGACGAGAUUCUAUCGGCGACGAGAACUGCUUGCAUGAGUUCUCGAUCCCGAUAGUAGACGUUCAAUGUCCCUCAUACGCCUGUCAGCUCUCACUUGCUGAGCUCGAAGUUCCCUAACUUCAGCUUGAGUUUCAGCAAGUUCCCUCUGCAGAUUUGCAUUGCGGACCAGAGUCCUUUCAUGAGCAGACUCUAGUUGGCGAAUGUGGACAGCGUUAACACCAGAGUUGGCGUCAACUUCCAAAACUUGAUUCAUAGUCGCCUGAGCCAUUAUUGUGUUACGAGAAAUCCUACACACCAUGAUUGGUAGGACUCUAUCAGCAGAACCUCCUUCAGUGAGGUUUUAGAAACUUCGGUCUCCAUUUUAGGGAAUGGGUUGACCCUGUUCAUGACUCCACAUAAUCAAGUCAGUGGCCCACAGAGGUGUGGGUCCUUGAAACACAGGACGGGGGUUCAGGUUUGGGUUUUGAGCAGUUGGGGGUAGGUUGUUGAUUUUUGGCUCCGAGUCAGAACUAUCGGAAAAACCCUCAACAUGGUGAUCAUCCAAAGGGAUUGGGUGAUCAUCUUCUGGUUCAGCCUCUAGCCAACCAGCAUUGCCUUGGUUUGGGAAGUACGGAUCGCCAUGGUGAAAUCCAGCCAUUUUAAUCUACGCGAGAAAAGGGAUUAUAAGAAAUAGCUAAAUAGACAAACUAACUAAGAUAAUUACAGUAAGACCAAAUACCCCUAUGGUAUUUCUUUAUGGUUGUGUUGGUAAGUUUUUAGACUUGUUGCCAUAUCACAACCAUUCUUGGGCAUAUUCUAAUCACUCCUCGGACCAGCAUAGUUGAUCAGGCUAUGCCAUUCCCAAGACUGACCAUAUAUCCCCAGGCUUACUUGUGAUAUUCAACAAUCGUAAUACUUUUGUUCUUGUCAUUGUGACACUGAUUUUAGUAUGAAUGCAGGCACGUAUACUUUGUUAAAUAUUUUAUUAUUUAAAAGUAUAACUCUUAGACAGAGUGUUUUAAUCCCCAUGUAUUUAUAGUUAGUAUAUCUUUUAUGGGUUGAUAUACUAUAUUCACUAUAAACAAUGCUCUAAAACCAAUCUGUCACACCCCAAAACCAUGAACGGCGGAAACGUUUAGCGGUGGAGGACGUGAGGUACAGUAUCACAACAGUGUAAUAUAAUAAACAAGCAACAACAUCAUCCAUUGCAUUAUAAGUAAAGUUUUAAUACAUGUGUGUUCUUUCAUUGUAGUAAGACACCAAAAAUAUACAGUCAAAAUAAAAGACGAGACUUGUCUGCUCCGUCUUCUCAAAACCUGGCCAUCGUACCUGUCUACUGUUGACCGGAGAAUACAAGUUAUUUUGAAAGAUAGUAUCAGCUUGAAAGCUGGUGAAUUCAUAAGUAUUUAAGUGUCAUUGUCUUGCUUACUAAAAUCUGUUUUAAAAGUAAUCCAAACAUUUAAAUGAAAAUGUUGAUGUAAGUAUAAAAAGCCCUAGAAAAUCCCUUAUUUUCUAUCAGUUUGAGAUGUAGUCUUCUACCAAGACCCGAAUGUUUUGUAAGUAAAAUGAUAGUUUUUCCUUUAAUUUUUUAGUAUUAAAGUACUUAGUCUAACUCAUCGUUUAUGUGAAAGUAUCUCAAAAUAAAGUAAAUAGGAAAAUGUACUACUGUAAGUGUUGUCACUGGGUACUAGGACUAACACAACAUCGCAUAAGCGAAAUAUGUAACCUAAUGAACAUCCGAAGAUUGUCCAGAAAAAGUUUUAAUGUAAGUGUGAUCCUUGGGUACUAGGAGUAACACAACAUCGCAAUAAGCGAAAAGUAUAACCUUAUGAACAAUCGAAGAUUCUCCACUUGUCCUCUGUAGCAGCACCAGGUGGGUGGAGGGGUUAGCCCCGGUUAUCAAUCUUCCUAAUAUAAAUAGUAACCUUAGACCUCCGUAUAUGGUCAUCAACCACUGGUGCUAAUCAGUGGGGUUCGGAAUUGUAAGUCCCGCCGAGAUAUCCCAUUGACCGGGAUAGGAAAGAUAAUUUACACAGAAAGUACUAAUAAAUCAUCCUCGUAGUUCUAAGUAUAAGUAUCCAGAUAAGUGAUUACAGGAUAAUGCAGCUAUGUAACAGUGUUCAUGUAUGGUAUUCAUGUAAGUGCGUUCAUGGAUCAGAUGAGUAUAUGUAUAUGCACUGACGUAUCAAGUAAUGUACUAGUAUAGACUCAUGAAUGAACUGACUCUUGUGUGAUUCCUUGUAAUAGGAAUAAUGUUUGAUAUCUUUAAAUUAUCCCUAUGAUAAUUUAAUAACAUAUAAUUGGUUGUUCAAGUAGAUUUAUACACUCUUACUACUCAAGAGUGUGGAAAACUAAGUGAAAGAUGUAAACUAUAACAUCGAUACAUAUAUAAGAAAAUAAGUGUAUAUGCAUAGUUUAGUUCAAGAAUGUAAAAUGGUUUUGUAAGACAUCCAAGCGUUUGAAUAACAUAAUGGUGACUUGAUGUCAUUUUGAUAAACAUGUCAAAAUCAAUACAUUUGAUAACAAAUUAUUUUUAAAGAUUAAAACCAUUUCAUGCAUCACAUUUUGUAGUAUGUGAAAUUCUGUUGAAUGAAAACACAGUUAUAAAACACAUACAUAUGAUUUAAUAACAUGCUGUUUUCUACUUGUAUCCCCCCACCCCAUUAAAGCACUUAAAAUCAUUUAAAACAUUGAUUAGGGGUAUGAACUCACCUGUAGAUGGUGAUUUGGAUGAACCGGACGGUGUAGGAUUUUUAGGUGUCAAGUGAGGACUGGUACACACACUACGAUCGUAAUGAACAUACAAUCACACAUAUAUGCAUUCAAUUAGUCUUAAAUCACUAAUUACAACGUUAANUUAGUCUUAAAUCACUAAUUGACAACGUUAAGACAUCCUAGACAUAGUAAACACUUUAUAUAAGUGUUUUAAGCCCUAAGGAUUGCAUCUAAGUUAAUGUGGGACAAGGCACUUGUGUUUAGGGUUCCAAAAGACCCCAUAUAUGAGUUUACUCCCCAUAUACCAUCACACUUUGAGUUUAUGGUUGUAAACUCUUGAGUUUACGGCCGUAAACUCCCAACCAUGGGUGUAUGGUGUGUUUUGAAGUUCCAAAUGAUUCCUAGAAUUAUUCCAACUUGGUGGUUCAAUUCUUGAAAGGGUUUAAGGCCUAGAAACACUCCCUAGAGGAGUUUACGGCCCUAAGGCAAUUUCCUUUGGAGUUUACGGCCGUAAACUCCCUUGGAAUGUUGUUUUUGUUGUUUUCAAGUCUCUUGCAUACGAAGGAUAGGUUCUAGACUUUUACCUAAAGCAUAUGAAGGCAUUUGGCACACUUUGGUGCCCUUAAAUCAUGUUUAUGGCCCAUGAAUCAUGUCAUGGCCGUAAACUCAUUUUGAAAUGUGUUAUUGAUGUGCUUAAGGCCUUAGAUUAAAUGGGAACAAGUCUAGGUAAAAGUCCAAGGCUUUAGGGGCCUUAAAAGCACCAUUUUGAGCUUGAAUUUGGAGUUUACGGCCUAAGAAACUCUUGGGCCGUGAACUCCCAAACUUGGCUGGUUUUUGCUUGAUUUCAUGUCCCUAACACACAUCCUUUCUAAUAAAUGAAAGUUUUUUUUGCCACUUGUCAAAUUCUCAAGAGUUUUACCACAUGUAAUUUUGUGGGAGUUUUAGAAUUAUUAUUUUCCACUUGUCAUUUUUUGAGAAUUUACAUUAUUUAAAAUAAAAUUUCAUAUAAGGAAAGAGAAUCAUUUUAUUAAUUUGAUAAUAAAGUCUCUUAAAUGCUUUAAAGAAGAUUUGAUUUUUUUUAUAAAUGUUUUAAAAGGUUACAUUAUGAUAUGUAAAAUUAUUAUUUUAGAAAAUAUUUAAUGGUAAAAUAUUGAUAUUAAAUUUUUAUUUUUAAUAAACCCGUGUAAUACAUGGGUCUUACAACUAGUUACAAAGAUAUAAGAAAAAUAGACUUUCGUCCCACACCUCCACACCUCCAUGUGAGUAUUUGUAUAUAUAAAAGGNNNNNNNNNNNNNNNNNNNNNNNNNNNNNNNNNNNNNNNNNNNNNNNNNNNNNNNNNNNNNNNNNNNNNNUAUAUAUAUAUAUAUAUAUCCUUUCUAAUAAAUGAAGGUUUUUUUUGCCACUUGUCAAAUUCUGAAGAGUUUUGCCACAUGUAAUUUUGUGGCAGUUUUAGAAUUAUUAUUUUCCACUUAUCAUUUUUUGAGAAUUUACAUUUUUUAAAACAAAAUUUUCAUAUAAGGAAAGAGAAUCAUUUUAUUAAUUUGAUAAUAAAGUCUCAUAAAUGCUUUAAAGAAGAUUUGAUUUUUUUUUUAUAAAUGUUUUAAAAGGUUACAUUAUGAUAUCUAAAAUUAUUAUUUUAUAAAAUAUUUAAUGGUUAAAUAUUGAUAUUAAUUUUCUUUUAAUAAACUCGUGUAAUACACUGGUCUUACAGCUAGUAUAAAUGAGUCUAAGGCAGUAGUAUAACACAAGGGUCGGUCUCGGCUUUGUUUCGGGAGUUUACCGCCCAAGAACACCUUGGGGAGUAAACUCCUAAAUCUAAUGUUUUAGCCAUCUAAAUCAUGUUAUAAUCACAUAAUAAGCUUUCUGACACUACUAGAAAGAGUUACUCACGUUUUGGUAUAAAAACCCGAAGAUCCGUGAGAGAGAAAAUGGCUUUUCUCUAGUUGGAAAUGUGAAUAAUGAAUGAAUUUGGUUCAUAAAUCUAUUUAUAGUCCUGAGAUAUUUUUGGCAGAAAAUAUUUUUAUUCCUAAAAUUACCUCUAAUAUAAUAGAGUGAUGAAAUAAUAGAGUUGCACUAAACCCUAGUGCAUCCACUCUCCUAAUUUCUCCUGAAGUAUAAACCUUGACGUAUUCAAACUUAAACGGAAAAGUCUGAAAAUUAACUAUGACUGUUAUAUCAUCUAUUGAAUUGAUAUUGUUUGUACAAAAUGGAAAUUUCGGGUUGUCACAUCAUGCAAUCAUAACAUUUAUGCUCCCACUAUCACGAUGAUUAUUACAAACAUAACACUUAUGCUCCGCUAGCUUUGACAUGUAUUUAGAAACUGCUUAACAUUCAGAAAAACAAUGCCUAUUGAAUUUCUUUAAGUUCAUAUUUCUAAUACCCAAUGCUUUGAUAAUCUUUUAUCAAGGCUUAUUAAACUUAUACAUCUUUGCCUUAGAUAGUUUAUGUAUGUGUCUUAAACAAUUUAGACUAAUUGCCAAAUCUCAUAAUCAUGGAAAGGGAUACCGUAACCAAAGUCGAAGUUGAGAAUACCAUUUCACAAUCACUAUCUUCUUAAAAUCUUCCUUAGUGAAAGCAUUUCCUCACAGUCAUUUUCAUGAAGGAGGGAAUCUUAUGACACUUAGAUUUUAAUGGUGUAUGUGUUCCUAUCCAUGUGAAUUUGUCAAAACCAAAGUUUACGACAAAUUCAAACUCAUAUGGACCGAACUUUCUUAAUCUUGAUUUCUUGCCUUAUGGUAACACAGCUGCCCACCAUGUCUUCCAAGUAGUUAAGCAGCUCACCCUUUCCUAUCAAUGUACUUUCAAUUGAUCAAGGUCCUUGCCUUUUAUGCAUUCAAAUGAGAACUCAUAGGGCUCACAUGCAUAAUUAACUCAAUUGGAACGGCACAGAAACAAGGUAAUGUCAACACGAUAGGUUGUAAACCUCAACUCGUGUGCUAGUGAUGAUCGAUAAGGUUUAUUCUUGAUUUGUUCUUGAAACCUUUCAAGACCAUUAAGACUCCCACUGACUCCUUGACAUAUAAGAUUCUCUUGUCAAUAAACAUUUCUUGACAAACAAAUAUUCAAGAGUUAGUGUAGCCUUUAUCAAGACAAAACAUUUCAUAAAAUUGGUCCUAGUUGGUCUUUGUCUUAUCCAAGACAUCACAACUUUCCAAUUUCAAAUGUGCGAGAAUAGGAAAGCCUUUUUCCAAAUUCUACAUUUGAUGAAUGUUAUAAACCUUCUUAAGACUUGUCACUCAAUAUUACAAUCUUAACUCUAAGACUUGUUUUGGAAUGAAGUAUGAUUGACUUCUUGAUUUAACCAUUUCUUCAAUUCUUGAUUCCUCUUCUUAUACAUACACUUGUACUAAGAUUUAUUUAGAGGAUCAAUUGAGAUAUGGUUCUUAAUCAUUAAGUCAUAUCAGAAAGCAUAAAAGGUACUAUCCCUUCUUCUUAGAAUAGAGAAACUUUUAUCUUUCUGCCUACUUGAUUCUUCUUAUUCGUUCUGCUAUUGAUUUAAACCUUUUUCAAUCAAUUCAGAAUUACAGUUACUCUUAUAAGCAUAAUCAUAUUUACUAAACCUUUAGUACAUCAUGACGAAUACCUUUGUUACUCUUGUGGUGGAUUUGAUCAACACACAACUUUGUUUACUCGAUCUACUAGUCUUUCACUUGACACUUUGUCAACGAAUUAGUCUAAUUUCCAAAUAUGAAAUUUCUCAUUCAUCAUGCAACCAAGUUGCAUGAUUCCAAGUUUCUGUCCAAUUGAAACUUGGGCGAUGUGAAACUCUCCCUAUUUGGUAAAUUCUUGACAUUUCCACUAUUAAUAUAAUUAAGAAUCUUAUCUAUUCGUUGUAGAAAUAUGCAAACAUCAAUUUUUCAUAAAGAUUUCAUUGCAAGGUAAUAAAUAAAUAAAUAAGUCAAAUCAACAUUUUAUUUUAUUCAUAAAAGCAGCGGAAAACAUUUGUCCUUACAAUGCAAAAUCAACUGAAAAACUAUGUAGAAAAAUUCCUAACAACUCUAUCAUAACUUUCUAAGCUCAAAAUCUAAUCUUCAAAUCCAUGCGAUCGAGAUCCAUUUCUUCAUGAUUAGAUUUAUCUUUCUUUUCCAUCAACCAUCCUCUCUUUUCACUGAUCCUGAAGCACAGCCAUACUCUUUGACUCUCCCAUCUUCUGGACUCUUCAGGCUCUUAGGGCAAACUUGUAUCCAACGCCCUUUCUCUUGGCAGUAAACACAGGUCGGUUCUCCUAGAACAUCCUCGGAAGCAUGGUUGGUUGGCUUUCCCAACAAAUAUGCUCCAUUGCUUUGCCAAAGCAUUUCUUAUUCAGCAGCAAUGAGCAUGCAAGUUAGGUCAAUGAGGUUUGCGUCAUGAUCCAUCAUAUAAUACUUUCUUUUGAACUCAUUAUAUGAUUCAGGGAGUGACUGUAGAACACAGCCUAUAGCCAACUCAUCAGGGAAUGAUGCACCCAACAUAAUCAACCUAUCGAUGUGUGAUUUCAUUCCUAGAACGUGGGCACACGCAGGUUUACCAUCUUUAUGUUUCAUUUCCAAUAGGGCUUUAGUGACAUUGAACCUUUCAAUUCUUCGAUCUUGUGGGUUAGGGAGAAUAACCGGAGGAGGAGGAGGAAGUGAAGCAUGAUCUCUUGUUCCUCGAUCGAAUCGUGGAAUAUCAUCUUCGUGUGGAAUGCUUGUUCCACGGGAUUUAGGAAGACCAUAGUUGUCGAACUUUGACAUCUACAAAACGGAAGAAAACGAAUUCAAGUUAGUUGAUUGAUUGAGUCCUUAAUAAAUCACCCAAAUGAGAUAUUAAGGCUAGGACCCAACACAAUACGCUACAACCUAGAAAAGGGAUGCCGUAAUCUAGUUGCAGGAUAUUUGAAGGUAAGUGAAUGACGAUUCACUAAUUUCCACCAUGAAAAACAAAAAAAAUUGAAGUUUUAAAUCUAUGAAAACUCCUAGAUUCUUUGAGAUUCAUUGAACAUUUCAACACCAUGUUUAAAUCUCGAUAUGCCCCUCUGGCUUGUGACUGGGAUGCCGAGGAUCACAAAGUAGGUGUGAAUAACCAUGCAAACUUACAUGGUGCCCCCACAUGGUACAGUCACCUAUUCGAUGUGUCGGUAAACCACACACGCUCCACCGAACUAUGACAAACAUUGAUUCACCCUUUGCUACCUUUGCUUAGAACCAUUUAGUGUGCCGGUAAACCACACACGCUCCACUAACGUCUUCGCAAGGGCACAAAGUGUAAUUUCAUGGAAUUGCAUCAAUUCACUUUUGCCUAAAGUAACUAAGAUUGGGAAUUUGUAAAACAUUUAGUUACUUUUGUACUUCAUUAUACUUAUAAUGGAAAGUUUUGUCCUAUCCUACCCGUUCGGCUAACGACCCUCCACUAGUCAAGAGUGCGGUGGGUAAGAGUGGAUACCCAUUCAAUCGCCAUUUUAUAGGCAAUUUCCUUAAACACCCCUUAUAGACCAGCUUCGUGAAUG
rnacentral:lncRNA from 1 species